rnacentral:snRNA from 1 species
CUGCUCACUUUGGCAGCACAUAUACUAAAAUUGGAAUGAUGCAGAGAAGAUUAGCAUGGCCCCUGUGCAAGGAUGACAUUCAAAUUCGUGAAGCGUUCCAUAUUUUU